AAAUAGUAUACAUGUAUCGGUGGUGUAAUUAUUCGAUUUUUUAUUUUAGUCUUUUUAAAAAAAAUAAAUAGUUUUUAAUUUGUAAUAUUUAAUUUUUAUCCUUAGUUUCAAUUGUUGCUUAGUUGUCAGUAGCUGUUGUUUCAUUCUCCCAUCAGAUGUCACGUGAAAUGGAAGAUGGCCUACACGAAGAAAACUGGACAGAUGACGUCUGAGGCAGCAAAGGAAAUAGCUGACAGGAUUGUAAGUCAUUUUUAAUUAAUAAUUGUAAUUAUCUUUAUGUAUUUUGUGAAUUCCUUGGACAAAUAUGUGUUCGGUACAAGAUUCUUUGGACGAGCAGGCGUCACAGGGAUCGUUCGUCCCCUAUGGACGUCAGGAUAUCCUGACUGCUGCCAUUGGGCGACUAGAGCACUCUGGUCGUGUUCGUGAUAUUGGAGCCGGUGUCACCAUAAAGCAAUACUUUGGAUCGGCUUUACGAACAUCCUGCAGUUCUUCCUCCAUGCCUCCUGAAGACCUAGAACAGCUGAUCCAACAAAUCAGAGACCAACUGGAGGAGUCAAUCACAGAAAAAAUGACUCGAAAGAUGAUGACAUCCUUCAGCCAGAUGCAGUCCCAGUUUUAGUCUCAGAUGCAAUCACAAGGACUUGCACUACCUCCAGAGCCAGAGGUUGGUCCCUCAGGUCCUCGUGUCAGCACAAAGGAGAGUUGUGUUGCUCCCUUAGGGAACGAUUCAGGGAUAAGUGACUCAGACAAAUGCGGGCUAUACAUUGAAGAAAAUCCUUCCCGCCUGGUUGCCUUAGGAAGACUUUAUGAGGGAUCCACAACAUUUCACAACAUCCCUUUGUUGCAUGGCCAAGUCAAGGUUGGUGUUGAGGAGGUUAAAGAUGCAGAGGCUCUCGUUCUUGUACCCACUGACGAGGUUACCUUAGUGGGGCAAGCACUUAACACCUUCCUUGUUUAGCCAACACAUCUUGUGAAGCGUUUAUCAGAACAGGCAGCUGUGUCUACAACAAAAUCUCCAGAAAGCCCGGAUGAAGAGGUCGAUGAUCCCCUGUACCUGAUGACAUUGAUCAUCCCACAACUGUUUUUGAAGCCUCUCCAGGUUAUGUGGGAUGCUACCAUAUUCGGGGUGUUUAAUCAAAACUUCCUGUUGUAUAUAAAGCACGAAGAUCUCUCUGAAAUUACAUACGGUGGUCAAUGUCUCAGCAUAUCUGUUAUACAGUUGUGGAUUCUGUAAGUCAUUUUAGAUUACUGUUAAUUACCAAAGUAAUUGUUUUAAAUUCAUACAUAAUUAACUUUGGCUUAACAACACAACCAUCUAACUGAGACAAGUGUGCGAGCGGGGAAUUCUGAUGUGUAUAGAUUCCUUGAGCCAUGGUCCAUUCAGAGAUCUGGGCAAUCACAAUUUGAAUCCGAAAGUUACAUCAAGAGUUGGAUACAGAGUUCAAAACGAAAUGUUUACCUUGGAGCCUACCUGAAUGGCGGACACUGACAAAUGGUCGUCAUUCUGCCUAAGGAAAACCUAGUUGUCUGAUUUUGUUCUUUACAUAAUAGGCUAGACAACUACCUUAAGGGAAUAAUUGACAGGUCAGUAUUGUUUACAAUACAUUUUCAUUGGCAUAACUCAACAACAUCAAUAUUUUAAUGUUCCUCAUAUUCAAUAC